rnacentral:rRNA from 1 species
CCUACGGGAGGCAGCAGUGAGGAAUAUUGGUCAAUGGGCGCGAGCCUGAACCAGCCAAGUCGCGUGAGGGAAGACGGCCCUACGGGUUGUAAACCUCUUUUGCCGGGGAGCAACGGGCGCCACGUGUGGCGCCCCUGAGAGUACCCGGAGAAAAAGCAUCGGCUAACUCCGUGCCAGCAGCCGCGGUAAUACGGAGGAUGCGAGCGUUAUCCGGAUGUAUGGGGGGUAAAGGGUGCGUAGGCGGUCGGAUAAGUUAGAGGUGAAAUCCCGAGGCUCAACUUCGGAAUUGCCUCUGAUACUGUUCGGCUAGAGAGUAGUUGCGGUAGGCGGAAUGUAUGGUGUAGCGGUGAAAUGCUUAGAGAUCAUACAGAACACCGAUUGCGAAGGCAGCUUACCAAGCUACUUCUGACGUUGAGGCACGAAAGCGUGGGGAGCAAACAGGAUUAGAUACCCGUGUAGUC